rnacentral:rRNA from 1 species
ACGGCUCAGUAACACGUGGCUAACCCACCCUUGAGACGGAGAAAACCCCGGGAAACUGGGGUUAAUCUCCGAUAAGAGAAGACCCCUGGAAUGGGUCUUCUCUCAAAGGGCGCCUAGACCAUGCUUCUAGGCGUUGCUCAAGGACGGGGCCGCGGCCGAUCAGGUUGUUGGUGAGGCAACGGCUCACCAAGCCUAUAACCGGUACGGGCCGUGAGAGCGGGAGCCCGGAGAUGGGCACUGAGACAAGGGCCCAGGCCCUACGGGGCGCAGCAGUUGCGAAAACUCCGCAAUGCACGAAAGUGUGACGGGGCUACCCCGAGUGCCGUCCGCUGAGGGCGGCUUUUCCCCGGUGUAAGGAGCCGGGGGAAUAAGGAGAGGGCAAGUCUGGUGUCAGCCGCCGCGGUAAUACCAGCUCUCCGAGUGGUAGGGAUGAUUAUUGGGCUUAAAGCGUCCGUAGCCGGCCCGGCAAGUCUUCCGUUAAAUCCAACGAUUCAAUCGUUGGACUGCAGGAGAUACUGUUGGGCUAGGGGGCGGGAGAGGCCGACGGUAUUCUCGGGGUAGGGGUAAAAUCCUAUAAUCCCGGGAGGACCACCAGUGGCGAAGGCGGUCGGCUAGAACGCGCUCGACGGUGAGGGACGAAAGCUGGGGGAGCGAACCGGAUUAGAUACCCGGGUAGUCCCAGCUGUAAACGAUGCGGGCUAGGCGUUGGGGCGGCUACGGGCCGCUUCAGUGCCGCAGGGAAACCAUUAAGCCCGCCGCCUGGGGAGUACGGCCGCAAGGCUGAAACUUAAAGGAAUUGGCGGGGGAG